UACGUAGGGUGCAAGCGUUGUCCGGAAUUAUUGGGCGUAAAGAGCUCGUAGGCGGUCUGUCGCGUCGGAUGUGAAAAUCCAGGGCUCAACCCUGGACCUGCAUUCGAUACGGGCAGACUUGAGUUCGGCAGGGGAGACUGGAAUUCCUGGUGUAGCGGUGAAAUGCGCAGAUAUCAGGAGGAACACCGGUGGCGAAGGCGGGUCUCUGGGCCUUACCUGACGCUCAGGCGCGAAAGCUAGGGGAGCGAACAGG
rnacentral:rRNA from 1 species